rnacentral:lncRNA from 1 species
GCACGUGUGGGGACACAGCCACUGGUGGGGACAGGGCCAUCCAUCCCUGAAGGUGUCAGAGGGCAUGUGAGUGGCACCAUGGAUGGGAUGGGUCCCUGAGGAGUGACCCCAUGGGGACAGUGAGGGGGGUCUCGUGUCCCCUCCCUGCCCAGGGUGUUUUUAAGGCAGGGGCCAGGCCUGGCUGUCCUGCUGAGAUCUUGUUCCACGAGCUGGAAUGAUUAACUGGCACCAGCUCUGGCUGUGUUUACUGCUGCCACCCAACCAUGCUGAGCUCUCAGUGACCCUCAGCGCUUUCCCUCGUGGCCCUGACCCCCCAAACUGGCUGUAAACAGGGACAGGGCUGAAACCCGAGUGUGCCCGUAACCAGAUACUUCCUCCACGUGUGCCUGGUGUGCUCUGAAGUGAGCCUGGCAUCGCCCAAACCCCAGCAAAAUCCCUAAAUCUCAUCUCUGCUCUGGGCUUCUAUGUGGCAAGGUGCCAGAUCUUCCCCCUCCAGCCGAACCCCAGGGAUUUGGGGGGCUGGAGAGGCAAAGCUGCCGCGCACAGGGGCCGGGCACAGGCGCUGACACACACUCCUGACACACGCAGGGAGGGAGGGAACGGUGGAUUCGCUCUGCCGAGAGGUUGGAAAUCGUCCUGGGGACGUGGGGCUGGUGCCACCUCGUGGCUCCGCCAGCGGCGGAGCCGGGCUGGACGCGCGGUGCCGGGCAGGGUGAUGGGGUCCCGCGUGUGCCCAUCGGGAUGAGCCCCCAGCCACGGGAGCCACAGCACCGCAGCCUCCUCAUCCCCGGAGCGCUGGCAAUGGCCAUAAACCCACCCCGCCCGAGCCUGGCCGAGGCCGGGGUGAAGCUCCGCUCGGCAUCGCCGCGGUUUCCGCCCGCGGGUGCCGCUGCUGCGAGCGCAAUUUGAGCGAGCAAGUAAACACCGCCGCGCCAGGCAGACAAAACCACAAAUUGCUUUUCAUCUCCAGUGCUGUCCCAGGUAAGGCCCGAGGCGGCGGCGUGUCCCCACGGGAAGGGGCUGGGGGGGCCCCAUGGAUCACCCCCCCCCCCCCCCCCCCCCCCCCUGUCCCCACGGGAAGGGGCUGGGGGGCCCCAUGGAUCACCCCCGUCCCGGCUGCCUGCCUGCGUCCUCCACAG